rnacentral:rRNA from 1 species
UGCAAGUCGACGAUGAACCACUUCGGUGGGGAUUAGUGGCGAACGGGUGAGUAACACGUGGGCAAUCUGCCCUGCACUCUGGGACAAGCCCUGGAAACGGGGUCUAAUACCGGAUAUUGACCUUCACGGGCAUCUGUGAGGUUCGAAAGCUCCGGCGGUGCAGGAUGAGCCCGCGGCCUAUCAGCUUGUUGGUGAGGUAAUGGCUCACCAAGGCGACGACGGGUAGCCGGCCUGAGAGGGCGACCGGCCACACUGGGACUGAGACACGGCCCAGACUCCUACGGGAGGCAGCAGUGGGGAAUAUUGCACAAUGGGCGAAAGCCUGAUGCAGCGACGCCGCGUGAGGGAUGACGGCCUUCGGGUUGUAAACCUCUUUCAGCAGGGAAGAAGCGAAAGUGACGGUACCUGCAGAAGAAGCGCCGGCUAACUACGUGCCAGCAGCCGCGGUAAUACGUAGGGCGCAAGCGUUGUCCGGAAUUAUUGGGCGUAAAGAGCUCGUAGGCGGCUUGUCACGUCGGUUGUGAAAGCCCGGGGCUUAACCCCGGGUCUGCAGUCGAUACGGGCAGGCUAGAGUUCGGUAGGGGAGAUCGGAAUUCCUGGUGUAGCGGUGAAAUGCGCAGAUAUCAGGAGGAACACCGGUGGCGAAGGCGGAUCUCUGGGCCGAUACUGACGCUGAGGAGCG